rnacentral:rRNA from 1 species
UACGGGGGGGCAAGCGUUGUUCGGAAUUACUGGGCAUAAAGGGCUCGUAGGCGGCCAACUAAGUCAGACGUGAAAUCCCUCGGCUUAACCGGGGAACUGCGUCUGAUACUGGUUGGCUUGAAUCCGGGAGAGGGAUGUGGAAUUCCAGGUGUAGCGGUGAAAUGCGUAGAUAUCUGGAGGAACACCGGUGGCGAAGGCGGCAUCCUGGACCGGUAUUGACGCUGAGGAGCGAAAGCCAGGGGAGCAAAGCGGG